rnacentral:rRNA from 1 species
CUCGUAGUUGAAUUUCGGGUAUUUGUUGCUAGCUGGUUUUUAUGGCCAUGUUGGUUAACAGAUCCUCAUUUGCUGGACGGCUAGCGAUGAUCUUUAUCGGUUGUCGUUAGUUGCCAGCACGUUUACUUUGAGAAAAUUAGAGUGCUAAAAGCAGGCUCACGCCUAUAUAUAUUGCAUGGAAUAAUGAAAUAAGAUCUCGAUUUUAUUUCGUUGGUUUUAGAAAUUGAGAUAAUGAUUAAUAGGAUCAGAGGGGGGCGUACGUACUGUGGUGUGAGAGGUGAAAUUCUUGGAUCGCCACAGGACGAACAGCAGCGAAGGCGUUCGCCAAGAAUGUUUUCAUUAAUCAAGAACGAAAGUUUGAGGUUCGAAGACGAUUAGAUACCGUCCUAGUUCAAACCAUAAACGUUGCCAACUGUCUUUUAGAUGCGGUUAUUUAUAUGACUCAUCUGGCGGAUCUCGAGAAAUCUAAGUUUUUAGGUUCCGGGGGAAGUAUGGUUGCAAAGCUGAAACUUAAAAGAAUUGACGGAAGGACACACAAGAAGUGGAGCCUGUGGCCUAAUUUGACUCAACACGGGAAACCUUACUCGGCCAGGACACUUUUAGGAUUGACAGAUUGAGAGCUCUUUCUUGAUUAGGUGGGUGGUGGUGCAUGGCCGUUCGUAGUUCGUGGAGCGAUUUGUCUGAUUAAUUUCGAUAACGAACGAGACUCCGGCUUACUAAAUAGUCUAAAGUUCGAAGGGACUUUUCAAGACUUCUUAGCAGGAUAAGUGGCACUUUUUAAGCCACACGAAAUGGAGCAAUAACAGGUCUGUGAUG